UGGUGCUGAUGCAAUGGUUUUUUGUUUUUAUAUCAGUGGGUCUCUGCUGACUUUUAUCCUGGCGGAAGAACUGAGUCGGGUCAGGUGUGCAGCCUGUG